AACUUUUUACAAUGGAUCACUUGGUUCUGGCAUCGAUUAAGAACGCAGCGAAAUGCGAUAAGUAAUGUGAAUUGCAGAAUUCAGUGAAUCAUCGAAUCUUUGAACGCACAUUGCGCCCCUUGGUAUUCCGGGGGGCAUGCCUGUUCGAGCGUCAUUUCAACCCUCAAGCUUAGCUUGGUAUUGAGUCCAUGUCAGCAAUGGCAGGCUCUAAAAUCAGUGGCGGCGCCAUUGGGUCCUGAACGUAGUAAUUUCUCUCGUUACAGGUUCUCAGUGUGCUUCUGCCAAAACCCAAAUUUUUCUAUGGUUGACCUCGGAUCAGGUAGGGAUACCCGCUGAACUUAAGCAUAUCAAUAAGCGGAGGCU
rnacentral:misc_RNA from 1 species